rnacentral:tRNA from 1 species
GACUUCGUAGCUCAGCUGGUAGAGCAAUUGACUCUUAAUCAAUGGGUCGAGGGUUCGAAUCCCUCCGAGGUCA